CAAUUUAUCGCUUCAAGCGCCCUGAUGGCCCGCGCAUUUUCGGCUUGGGUGGACGAUUUCAAUCAAAUUCCAGUGGAGCUGCUAGAUGACGAGUGCUUCCGUGUUGGGAGCCAUUUGUUUAUGAUGUCCCGGAUAUCAUCAAAACUGGUGCGGGUGUUGUUGGACAACAACUCCCGGUAUCAGAGUUGGCACCUGGCGGGGAAUUACGGAGCACUACUGAGGCACAGGUGACUGCUUCACGAGAAGAAGCUGGCCGUUUGCCAAUUGUGGUUAGGACAGACGUAGGUGGUACCAGGGCAACAAGGAAAAGCAAGUCAUCGACAGCGGCCCUAAAGUCAGGGGCGUUAGGACAGAGUGGUGGAGUUGUAGGGGGCAGUGCCAAGGUUAAGGAUGACAACGCACAACAGAAAAGUAAGGGAGACGCACCAAAGGGAAUGAAGGGGAAAUAGUCGUUGGAUCCCAAGGUAUAAGUGGAAAAUAAAAU